rnacentral:rRNA from 1 species
UUAAAGGAAUUGACGGAAGGGCACACAAGGAUUGGGUCCUGCGGCUUAAUUUGACUCAACACGGGAAAUCUCACUCGGUCCGGAUUUAGGAAGGAUUGACAGAUUGAGAGCUCUUUCUUGAUUCUAAAGGUGGUGGUGCAUGGCCGCUUGUAGUUCGUAGAGCGAUUCGGCUGGUUGAUUCCGAUAACGAGCGUGACUCCUGCC